GGUGGUGGUGCAUGGCCGUUCUU
rnacentral:ncRNA from 3 species